UUUUGGCGAGGGAUUGAAACUCCACGUGCCGCCAUGGCCACCCCGUUUCCCUGAACGUAAAAAGCUUCGCAAUUUAACAUCACAAAGGUCUUUAGAUUCCACACACAGGAGAUCGCGUAAAUCUAAUGAAAUCCCUUGGAGGAGUUCGUCAAAGUAUGAGGCCUGAAAAGAGGGGAAAAUGUCGCCAAAUUUACACAUUGAUUUUAAAAUGGCUGACUUCCUGUUGGAUUUGGGAUAUUGCUCCAAGAGACUUUUUUGUACAUCUUGAUAUCUCCAAUAAGCUUGCCAGGUUUCAAACUCAUACAUAAAACACAGAGCAGGGGCUGUUGUUUUGAAAUUUUGUAGGGGGCGCUGUGGAGCCAUUUUGCGCUGUUCAAGGAAAAUGAACAUAUAAAAAGAAAUCCCUCAUCACAUUAGAGGUGUGCGCCAAAUUUCAAGACUUUUAAACUUUUCAAGCCCCUCAAAAGCCACUUCAUCUUUCAUGGUGAACUGCGUUGCCACCAGGGUGCGCCGUUCAGUUUAUAGUCACAAUUUUCUCACUGAAGCAUCAAGAGGGACUGAUGGUGAUAUUCACCGCUUUUGAGGUGGCC
ensembl:lncRNA